GAUGAACGCUGGCGGCGUGCUUAACACAUGCAAGUCGAACGAAGCAUUUAGAAUAGAUUACUUCGGUUUGAAGUUAUUUAUGACUAAGUGGCGGACGGGUGAGUCACGCGUGGGUAAUAUGCUUUGUACUGGGGGAUAGCUGCUGGAAACGGCUGGUAAUACCGCAUAAGCGCACAAUAUUUCAUGACAUGGUGUGAAAAACUCCGGUGGUAUAAGAUGGACCCGCGUCUGAUUAGCUAGUUGGUGAGAUAACAGCCCACCAAGGCGACGAUCAGUAGCCGACCGGUGAGGGUGAACGGCCACAUUGGGACUGAGACACGGCCCAGACGCCUACGAGAGGCAGCAGAUGGUAAUAAUGCAGAAUGGAGGAAACUCUGAAGCAGCGACGCCGCGUGAGUGAAGAAGUAAUUCGUUAUGUAAAGCGCUAUCAGCAGAGAAGAGAGUGACGGUACCUGACUAAGAAGCACCGGCUAAAUACGUG
rnacentral:rRNA from 1 species